GAUGAACGCUGGCGGCGUGCCUAAUACAUGCAAGUCGAGCGAACAGACGAGGAGCUUGCUCCUCUGGCGUUAGCGGCGGACGGGUGAGUAAUACGUGGAUAACCUACCUAUAAGACUGGGAUAACUUCGGGAAACCGGAGCUAAUACCGGAUAAUAUAUUCAACCGCAUGGUUCAAUAGUGAAAGACGGUUUUGCGUUCUCUUAUAGAUGGAUCCGCGCCGCAUUAGCUAGUUGGUAAGGUAACGGCUUAGCAAGGCAACGAUGCGUAGCCGACCUGGUAGGGGGAUCGGCCACCUUGGAGCUGAGCCACGGACAAUGCUCCUACGGGAGGCACCAGUAGGGAAUGUUCCGCAGUGGGCGAAAGCAUGACGGAGUAACGCCGCGUGAGUGAUGACGGUCUUCGGAUCGUAAAACUCUGUUAUUAGGUAUGAACAAAUGUGUAAGCGGCUGUGCCCGUCUUGACGGUACCUGCACAGAAAGCCACGGCUAACUACGUG
rnacentral:rRNA from 1 species